rnacentral:rRNA from 1 species
UUUUGUAUACCAAAAUAAGAUUGUUACAGAUGACCGAAGUUAAGUGUGCUUGGGCGAGAGUAGUACUAGGAUGGGUGAUCUCCUGCGAAGACCUCAUGUUGCAUCCC